ACCCACAUACCUAAUGUAAGUGCUGAGUUCUUACCUCAGUAAUGUGUUUAUAACACUGUGAGUU
rnacentral:tRNA from 1 species